rnacentral:rRNA from 1 species
GGGGAACCAGGACUUUUACUUUGAAAAAAUUAGAGUGCUCCAGGCAGGCCUAUGCUCGAAUACAUUAGCAUGGAAUAAUAGAAUAGGACGUGUGGUUCUAUUUUGUUGGUUUCUAGGACCGCCGUAAUGAUUAAUAGGGACAGUCGGGGGCAUCAGUAUUCAAUUGUCAGAGGUGAAAUUCUUGGAUCUAUUGAAGACUAACUACUGCGAAAGCAUUUGCCAAGGAUGUUUUCAUUGAUAAGGAACGAAAGUUAGGGGAUCGAAGACGAUCAGAUACCGUCGUAGUCUUAACUAUAAACUAUGCCGACUAGGGAUCGGACGAUGUUAUCUUUUGACGCGUUCGGCACCUUUCGAGAAAUCAAAGUGCUUGGGCUCCAGGGGGAGUAUGGUCGCAAGGCUGAGACUUAAAGAAAUUGACGGAAGGGCACCACCAGGGGUGGAACCUGCGGCUUAAUUUGACACAACACGGGGAAACUCACCAGGUCCAGACACAGUGAGGAUUGACAGAUUGAGAGCUCUUUCUUGAUUCUGUGGGUGGUGGUGCAUGGCCGUUCUUAGUUGGUGGAGUGAUUUGUCUGCUUAAUUGCGAUAACGAACGAGACCU